GGGGGUAUAGCUCAGUGAUAGAGCAUUCGACUGCAGAUCGAGAGGUCCCGGUUUAAAAACCCGGUGCCCCUU
rnacentral:tRNA from 1 species